ACAAUAAGAUCGAAGGCUAAGAACGCAGCGUCCUGCUGCAACGCCUUUAUGACCCGCAUCGUGCGGG
rnacentral:sRNA from 1 species